rnacentral:lncRNA from 1 species
ACAUGGUGGUGAUUACUGGACACGACGACUAGCGAGGCAAUUUACUGUAAGAACCGUAUACUAGUUAGCUACAGAAUGAGUUUGGUGGCCUGAUGUACUGCUAAUUAACCAGAGAUGUAUCUCGCUGUUUCGUAUGAGUUGUGUAAGGGCAGACCUUACUGUAGACGACUGCCACUGUUGUAUAGCUGUAUUGUACUCCCUCCGUCCGGAAAUACUUGUCAUCAAAAUGAAUAAAAAUGGAUGUAUCUAGAUGUAUUUUAGUUUUAGAUACAUCAUUUUUGUCAUUUUGAUGACAAGUAUUUUCGGACGGAGGGAGUACCUCAGUGUAUAGUAUGGCUCAUUAUUUUCUUGGCUCUUGAGCCUCUCAUUGUAUCUUGUGUAAUUGGAACAAAGGCCAGCCUGUGGUUGAUAUCGGCUGUGAAACCUAG